AAUAAAUAUAAUUUUACAAUGUUUUAUGUCCAACGUUUAACCGUUUCUCUUAUUUGAAAAUUUUUUAUGAUUGGUAGUGUUUUUUAUUGUUAUUUGAUUAUAAAACAUGAAUAUUACUUCAUAUGUGACUAUUUUUUUCUAUUUUUUUCAUAAGUUUUUCAAAUAAGACGGAGGGUCAAACGCUGGGCACGGAGACCCACGGCUGCACUUAUU
rfam:Oryza glaberrima chromosome 1 Oglab01_0176_13, whole genome shotgun sequence.